UAAGGAAUAUUGGUCAAUGGACGCAAGUCUGAACCAGCCAUGCCGCGUGAAGGAUGAAGGUCCUCUGGAUUGUAAACUUCUUUUAUGUGGGACGAAAUGCAUUUAUUCUUAGAUGUUUGACGGUACCAUAGGAAUAAGCACCGGCUAACUCCGUG
rnacentral:rRNA from 1 species